rnacentral:misc_RNA from 1 species
GAUGAAGAACGUAGCGAAAUGCGAUAAGUAAUGCGAAUUGCAGAAUUCCAGUGAGUCAUCGAAUCUUUGAACGCACAUUGCGCCCGCCAGUAUUCUGGCGGGCAUGCCUGUCUGAGCGUCAUUUCAACCCUCAUGCCCCUAGGGCGUGGUGUUGGGGAUCGGCCAAAGCCCGCGAGGGACGGCCGGCCCCUAAAUCUAGUGGCGGACCCGUCGUGGCCUCCUCUGCGAAGUAGUGAUAUUCCGCAUCGGAGAGCGACGAGCCCCUGCCGUUAAACCCCCAACUUUCCAAGGUUGACCUCAGAUCAGGUAGGAAUACCCGCUGAACUUAAGCAUAUCAAUAAGCGGAGGA